UUGUGUUUGAAUCUUUAUGCAUGUGUCAUGAAAUAUUUUUAUGCUACUUGGUAAAAGCCUGUUAGUUUUUUUUGUUUUUGUUUUUAAAAGUCCUACUCUUUUGACGUUUUUUUUUCUUUCCUUCCUUCUUCCAUUCACAGGUCUUUUGUUUCUGCCUUUCUUUCACUUUUUUGCUCUUUUUCUUUUUGCUUACUUCCGUAAAUUGUAGCGAGUUUAGUUGGGAAUCUACGUUGUUCGUUGCGUCGAUUGAAAGGUUAUUGCACGAAGGUCUUGCGGGAAAUGUUCCUUCAACACGCUAGUUCCAUAAUUUGCUACUACGUACGAGGUUUUGGAUUCUUUUUGGGUGCUUCUAUGUCGAAAUCAUACAAGGUAACCCACAGACUUAGGUGGGUCGGCGUGGUAGGAGCUUGGUCAUUCCUCUCUAGUUAUUUUUUUCAAUUUUUAUAAACUUAUGCUAUUGUGUGUUUGUUUUGGAUUACGCAUCGAAAGUUUGAAUUUCUAUUUUUGAAUUAACUAAUUACAUGAUUUUCGACUGUUAAAUUUCAAGUAGUUAAAGGUUGAUUUGUUCUGAAAUAAAUUGAUGUAGUCUCCAGGCUUGGUCUUAACUUCUAGACUGGGUAUGUGGUAUUACAAUCAUAACGUAAUUUUAACAUUAAGUUAGUGACCA